CGGAUUCCACAAAAAACCUCAAAAUUACCCCUAAACCAAACGAAUCCCCAUAAACCCUACUUACCAUACCACAAGAAGAACCAGAAGAAUCCAAGCCACAUCAAUUCAAUUGAGCAAAAAGAUGUUAGAAUUGAAGAAAGCAAAAGGGGGAAGAGACUCAAGAAAGAAAAAAAAAACGUUAGAGGGAAAUUUUUAUAGAGAGACAAAAUGUUGGAAAAGAGGGAAUUUUGGGAAAAAUAAAUUAAAUACAAAAAAUAAAAAUAAAAAUUAAGAUAAUAUUCUCAACUCCCCACUACCCUUACUACCAACCACUCCCACAAAAUCCUCAUCCAACUACCACAGAAUUUCAAUUCCACCAAACCUCUACUACACAACCGACACAC
rnacentral:lncRNA from 1 species